GUGCCUUAAACUAAUGAGUAAGGAAAAUUACGAGCCUUGGUAACGCUUGGCUUAGCUUAACUUCGCCGGUUGUACCAUCAGCGAUGGGAAGACCGUGUUGAGCACAAAUUUUUGGAGGGGCACAGGUCGUCCCAUCGAGCCUGGCUCACUACUUUCGAGCUGGUUCUGGUGAAGCGAUCUGCCCA